UUCCGGUUGAYUCUWCGGAGGCCAUUGCUAUUGGGAUUCGAUUUAGCCAUGCUAGUCGCACGAGUUCAGACUCGUGGCGAAUAGCUCAGUAACACGUGGCCAAACUACCCUUCGGAACACAAUACCCUCGGGAAACUGAGGCUAAUAGUGUAUACCACAGUUCACCUGGAAUGAGAACUGUGCCAAACGCUCCGGCGCCGAAGAAUGUGGCUGCGGCCGAUUAGGUAGACGGUGGGGUAACGGCCCACCGUGCCAAUAAUCGGUACGGGUCAUGAGAGUGAGAACCCGGAGACGGAAUCUGAGACAAGAUUCCGGGCCCUACGGGGCGCAGCAGGCGCGAAACCUUUACACUGCACGACAGUGCGAUAAGGGAAUCCCAAGUGCGUAGGCAUAGAGCCUACGCUUUUGUCUACCGUAGGGAGGUAGACGAAUAAGGGCUGGGCAAGACCGGUGCCAGCCGCCGCGGUAAUACCGGCAGCCCGAGUGAUGGCCGAUCUUAUUGGGCCUAAAGCGUCCGUAGCUGGCCGUACAAGUCCAUCGGAAAAUCCACCCGCUCAACGGGUGGGCGUCCGGUGGAAACUGUGCGGCUUGGGACCGGAAGGCGCGACGGGUACGUCCGGGGUAGGAGUGAAAUCCCGUAAUCCUGGACGGACCGCCGAUGGCGAAAGCACGUCGCGAGAACGGAUCCGACAGUGAGGGACGAAAGCUAGGGUCUCGAACCGGAUUAGAUACCCGGGUAGUCCUAGCCGUAAACAAUGCCUGCUAGGUGUGGCUCCCACUACGAGUGGGUGCUGUGCCGUAGGGAAGCCGCUAAGCAGGCCGCCUGGGAAGUACGUCCGCAAGGAUGAAACUUAAAGGAAUUGGCGGGGAGCACUACAACCGGAGAGCKCGUU
rnacentral:rRNA from 1 species